rnacentral:rRNA from 1 species
UACGUAGGGUGCGAGCGUUGUCCGGAAUUAUUGGGCGUAAAGAGCUUGUAGGCGGUCUGUCGCGUCUGCUGUGAAAAUCCGGGGCUCAACCCCGGACUUGCAGUGGGUACGGGCAGACUAGAGUGUGGUAGGGGAGACUGGAAUUCCUGGUGUAGCGGUGAAAUGCGCAGAUAUCAGAAGGAACACCGAUGGCGAAGGCAGUGAUCUGGGCCAGUACUGACGCUGAGGAGCGAAAGCGUGGGGAGCGAACAGG